rnacentral:rRNA from 1 species
AUUGAACGCUGGCGGCGUGCUUAACACAUGCAAGUCGAUCGGUAACAGGUGUAGCAAUACAUGCUGACGAGAGGCGGACGGGUGAGUAAUGCUUGGGAAUCUGCCUAUUAGUGGGGGACAACCCGGGGAAACUCGGGCUAAUACCGCAUACGCUCUACGGAGGAAAGCCGGGGACCGCAAGGCCUGGCGCUAAUAGAUGAGCCCAAGUCGGAUUAGCUAGUUGGUAGGGUAACGGCCUACCAAGGCGACAAUCCGUAGCUGGUCUGAGAGGACGACCAGCCACACCGGAACUGAGACACGGUCCGGACUCCUACGGGAGGCAGCAGUGGGGAAUAUUGGACAAUGGGGGCAACCCUGAUCCAGCGACGCCGCGUGGGUGAAGAAGGCCUGCGGGUUGUAAAGCCCUUUCGGUGGGGAAGAAAGUCUCGACCUAAUACGUCGGGACCUUGACCGUAACCCACUAAAGAGCACCGGCUAACUCUGUGCCAGCCG